AUACGUAGGGGGCGAGCGUUGUCCGGAAUGAUUGGGCGUAAAGGGCGCGUAGGCGGCCCGGUAAGUCUGGAGUGAAAGUCGUGUUUUUAAGAUGGGAAUUGCUUUGGAUACUGUCGGGCUUGAGUGCAGGAGAGGUAAGUGGAAUUCCCAGUGUAGCGGUGAAAUGCGUAGAGAUUGGGAGGAACACCAGUGGCGAAGGCGACUUACUGGACUGUAACUGACGCUGAGGCGCGAAAGUGUGGGGAGCAAACAGGAUUAGAUACCCUGGUAGUCCACACUGUAAACGAUGAAUGCUAGGUGUAGGGGGUAUCGACCCCUUCUGUGCCGCAGUCAACACAAUAAGCAUUCCGCCUGGGGAGUACGGCCGCAAGGUUGAAACUCAAAGGAAUUGACGGGG
rnacentral:rRNA from 1 species